GGUAAAUCGCUGGCGGGGCCGCUGCUUUGGGCCCCAGCCCAGGAUGUCUUCCCGCCAUCCACUCGGCCCCUGGAGCUUCCCCAGCGCUCCCAGGAGGUGCUGGGAAUGAACACAAAUGGACCCUGCCAAGUUAAUGUUCUGCUCUCUCGUCCCCUUCUUCCCUGAUCUAGCGGCCCAGUGAGGCCCUGAAGCUGGCAACAGCCAGGUUCAUCUCAGCCCUAAACAUUUCUGCAAUCGAUCUUCCCGCCCCAGUCCCUCAGCUUCCUUUAUGGCUUCGGUUGUUUUACGAGUCCCUGAAGCCAGGGCUCCUCCCCCUGCAGC
rnacentral:lncRNA from 1 species